GAUCCUGGCUCAGAGCGAACGUUAGCGGCGCGCCUAACACAUGCAAGUCGCACGAGAAAGGGGGCAACCCCCCGGUACAGUGGCGCACGGGGUGAGUAACACGUGGAUUACCUUCCCUGGAGUGGUGGAUAACCUGCCGAAAGGUGGGCUAAUACAGCAUGAGACCACGCACUUUCGAGUGUGAGGUCAAAGCGGGCUUCUGUUUACAUGCUCGCGCUCUAGGAUGGGUCCGCGGCCCAUCAGCUAGUUGGUAGGGUAACGGCCUACCAAGGCAACGACGGGUAGCUGGUCUGAGAGGAUGACCAGCCACACUGGAACUGAGACACGGUCCAGACUCCUACGGGAGGCAGCAGUGGGGAAUCUUGCGCAAUGGGCGAAAGCCUGACGCAGCGACGCCGCGUGGGUGACGAAGGCCUUCGG
rnacentral:rRNA from 1 species